GUUCAUUUUAGGACAUCCUCAGACCUCAGCGUCAGUACUCAGGCAUCAGAUGAAAAGGCAUCGCGCUUCAGACUUAAAAGCAUCAGUUCUCAGAAAAACAUGGUCUCGUACAUUAGACAUCGGGCAAUACGGCCUCGGACUAAACGGCAUCAGGUGAAACGGCAUCAGGUCUCGGACUAAAAGUCCUCAUGUGAAACGGCAUCAGGUCUCGGACUAAAAGUCCUCAGGUGAAACGGCAUCAGGUCUCGGACUAAAAGUCCUCAGGUGAAACGGCAUCAGGUCUCGGACUAAAAGUCCUCAGGUGAAACAGCAUCAGACAUACAAGCAUCAGGUCUUACUAAAUCAGGUAUCAGAGGAAACGGCCUCAGGCUGAAAGGCUUCAGAUGACUUUUCGCGUAACCCCAAACUUCCACCAGCACUUUUAACAGCGAACGGAGACGGCUAAAGAUGUAAGGUAAGGCGUCUUUGAUAUCGUUUAUUUUUAUUUUAUUUUACUGUUUUUAUUGAUCGUUGCAAUCUCUUAAGUGUACAACGUGUUGCAUGACCAAACAUUUAUAACACCAAUAGCUAAAAUAAAUGUAAUUAGCAUGCGUUAAUGCUUGCUGUGCUUAACAUCUCUCUCUUUCUCUCUCUCUCUCUCUCUGUGUGUGUGUUAACGAAGAAUGGAUUCACAUAGAAGUAUCCUACAAUUAACGUUUUAAGCUGGCUAGAACACUUACAACUACACACAUUGCUGUUUUUAAUCUUAGUACUGUGGUUUUCUGUUAACGCAGCUAUCUAGAACUUUGAUUUAUUUACAUUUUACAUUAAACGUAAACAUUAAUGAUUGUAAUGUGUCAGUUUAUAAAAUGAAUACAAAGUCACUUAAAGGGCCUUGACUUAAGUAGAUGAAAUGAUAAAAUUGCCAAUGGCUGUAAACAGAGAGAAAUAUUCUCUAUUCUUUGUGCAUCUGGAUUCAAAAUCAGUGAAAGGCAUUUAAAUUUAAGAAGAUUAAUUAAAUCCCUUGGUUUAAGGCGGAGGAGUUAUGACAGGCCCCUUGAUGAAAUACGUCAAGCUAUAAUGAGUGAGUUGAAACACUGGUCACCUUGGCAGGGCAUCCGUGCCAUGCACAAACGAGUACGUGAUGUCAGAGCAAUCCAGCCUUGCUACAGGAACGAUGUAGGUGUAAUAAUGGGAGAGCUUGAUGCCAGUGGUCUAAUUAGAAGAUGUCCUGGGAAAAAAAAAUUGAACGAAGGAACUACUUUAGUCGUGGACCAAAUUAUACUUGGCACAUUGAUGGAAAUGACAAAUUGAAAUUCUUUGGAAUAUGGGUGCAUCUUGGUAUUGAUGGAUUUUCUAGGAAAAUGAUUUGGCUUAAGGUUGGCACCACUAACUGACAGCAUAGCUUCAUUGCAAGUUACUUCUAUGAUGCUGUUUGGGAACACAACGGUUGUCCAAGAUUUAUUCGGGCAGACAGAGGAAAGGAAAACCUUACUUACAGAUGCAAGUGGCAUUUCACUUCAGGCAGGCUAGUGAUCACGGACGAGACUCUUUCAGAAUGGGCAAAUCAGUACACAAUCAGGC